CACCCGAGCCCACAGCGCCUAACCUGAGGCUCCCAGUCGCGUCGGGCCUCCCGAGUGGGGCGCGUGUAGGGAAGACCUCCGCACGUGUCCCCAGCACGGAGCAGAAAGGGGAGAAUAUCACCAGGCUCACACUUGGAGGAUUUAAUGAAGUGAUUGUGUCAGCCAGUGGACCUCAGACUUUAUCAUGUAUCUGAAUCAUCUGAGAACUUGUUAAGGGGAUUAACAGCUGUCCUUCAUCCAGGCCCUUUCACCAUGCUAUUUAUGCCUUGAACUCAGCCAACCAUGGACUGAAACUAUGAGCC
ensembl:lncRNA